CCAUCUCCUCCCUCGCGCCGCCAUCUUCCUCCUCUUCUCCCCAUCUUUCUCUUUUCUCUGUGAACGAAACGAAGAGAAAACCCCAAGCUUCUGCCACCACCGUGCUCGCCAUGGCGCCGCCUCUACCGGCCGCCCCUCGACGAGCCGAAGACACGUGAAGAUCCGCCUCGUCGUCCUCUCCAUCCCCGUUCAAGGAAUCGAGCCGGGGCUCGCUCAAUCAACGGCAAAAUCGCCGUUCCCUUCUCCAACUCCGGCGAGUUCAUGGUCGAUUCCGGCCGCUGGAGAUCUCCCCCAUCCUCUCCGACCUCAUCCACGGCUUCCUGGUGAUGUGCUCGUUCUUCCAGACCUCUUCCCCGUCUCAAUCUCGUCCUCGUUUUCUUUCUACCGACUUUGACCAUCGGUAACCUCCGCAGGAGCUCGUCGCCGGCGACGCCGCGGUGCCUCCCUGACCGUCUCAUCACCCGAAGCUGCACCACCCCGCUGAGCCGCACCCUCGACGCCACUUCUCUGGACCUGGUUCGCUCCCAGUCGCCCAAACCAUCUCCGACCUGCUCGUCCACCAUGGCUGCAGUAUGCAAGGUCGACCCGGCCUUAUGUAUGUUCUUGUUGACGUGCACCUGGCACUGUUCAUUGAUCCGCAACUAGCCUAGCUGAUCUCGCAGCGAAACAUGCUUCAAUUUGCGUGGAGUCCUUCCCAAAUCAACAUACACACAUUAGCCUGGCUGGUGGCCCCUUCUGUCAGUCUCCACCGGCGCCACCUCAGCCUUCCUGCCUUGUCAGCGCCCUGUCAGCAUCUCCCUGGCCCGCUGGUCAGCCUCUUGGGCUAUCUCCUCUUCGGUAUAAACUGUUUCCCUCCUUUCCCUGUUUUUCUAAAAAAUGGCAGGAAAUAUGUAUAUCUUGCUAAAAUCAUAUCUUCUAAUCUGUAACUCGAAAUAAAAUGUGUUAUAUAUGAAUUUUGAUCAGAAAAAUGUAAGGAACAUGAAUAUGACAUCCAUACAUCCAUUUGCAUCUCACAUCAUGUCGCACGCUGAUAGUUAUGCAUGAUCACCUAACAUAUAUGCGGAGUAUUUCGGAUUCGAAUAUGGUUUUCCCCGCUCCGUUUAAUAUUAAAGUAGCUCACCACUGCCAUGUUGUGCCAUGCUAACUAACACUUAAAUUUGCCGGUAGAAAAUGCAA